rnacentral:lncRNA from 1 species
AGAAACAACUACAACUUUAUUAAUAAAACCCAUAAACUGUGAGUUUAAAUACAAAUAUUAUCAUCUAGACAAUAUACAUACCCAACUAAGUUCUCAUUACAAUUAUUGAUACAAUACUUUACAAAAAUGGUGAGGACUACUAAAAUAACUUCCUAGAACCUUCAUUCCGUACCCCGACCAGUACUCGCUACAUUCUCGCCUCCUGAGAAGAAAAAUGGAACAAAAAGGAAAAGAGUGAGCUCAACUAGCCCAGUAAAGAAUAUUAUGACUAAGAUAAUAUAGAACAAAUUAUUGUUAGUCUUCAACAGGGAAAAAUCUGAUAAAAUACAAUAGACAACAAGUUUCAGAUCAGCAGCGAAAAUAAUAAUUCAUAGAUGAGUUACGUAGAGAAUGAAAUCUACUAUAAUAUAUGAAUUUAAAAGUCCAUCAUCGUUAUUUUAUCUCUGUAAGAUCAAUCAAUGCACAUCUUGAAUCAUAUAUUCAUCUUUGCACUACAGGCCAAAGAUAUUCAUCAGUCGGUCAUGUUCAUCUCAACACUUGUACAUCUUUGCACUACGGGCCAAAGAUAUUCAUUAUAAAAUCAUUUAUCUUUUCACUACAGGCCAAAGAUAUUCAAUAAUAUCAUCAUUUAGGGCUGAGGAUGAUGAAAAAUAUUUUAAAGGAAACGAAUCCAGUGAAACAAAAGAAUAAAUAUCAAGGAUUCGUAUUUCAGCUAUUUCAUGUCCAAAAAUACCUCAUAAAUAAUUAUAGUGAAGUAAAAUUCAAGAAUGAUCAAAACAUGGAUACAAUCAAAGCUAGUAUCCAUAAUAGAUAUUUUGGACGAAAAGGAAAAUUUUCAUUUUUCGAUGAAUAAUGCCGUAUUCGUGAAUAGUGCCGUAUACAUGAAUAGUGCCGUAUACGUGAAUAGAACCCCGACACAAAAAAUUCUAAAUUUGAUUAAAAGUUCAAACCAAUAUUUCGGCAUAAUGAUAUGAAAAAAAUAAUAUCAUUUAAAAAGAAAAUAACAUCCCUUACCUCGAAAAGAUAGUACUUCUAGUUGAAACACCGGAUAUAGGCUAUGACUUGAACUUGCACCGUAUAGAAACACUCAAAGUAUUAAAAUACUCACAAGAAUACGCUCAAUAUAUCGAGAGAGAAAGAGAGAGAAGAUUUCAGUUUCUGGUGUGAUUUUUAAUUCUAACCUAAGCACCCUAUUUAUAGGAAAAUGCUUAGACACCAAAGUAGAAAAUUUUAAAAAAUAAUAAUAUACUUUUCUUAAUUUCCUUAGCACACCUCACCAGCUGAUUCAACCAUUAACAUGUGCCACUCAAAUGGAAAAAACGUUUUCCUUGAUAAAAAUAAAUAAAAUUUCCAAAAAUCAAUUAUUUCGGAACUUCGGAACUUCAAUAAUUCACAAUAAAUAGCCCUUUUGUCAGAAAAAUUCAAACCACAUGUCCUUUCUAUAGGAAAUUUCAUUCUCUAGAACUUUGCAGAAAAAAGUUUUUCCAAAUUCCAAACAGAAAUUGACCGAAAUCCACAAACGGGCUAUUUUACAGGUUAUAAUCAAAUUUCGAUCAAUAAUUGGGGUCUACCAACACACAAAACAUGUGUUAAUCAUUUAAUGCUACAAAAAUACUCUUCCUCCUCAUAUACUCAUAUAUCUCACAUUCAUUGUAAAAAUAUCACCAUCAAUAUAUUAUUAAAAUAAUAUAUUUAAUUGAAUUAUUUUACCAGAAAAAGAUAAAAUAUUAAUUUUCAACAAUUGUCACAUUAAAAAAUUUUCUCCAGUUAUAUUCACAUAAAAUCAAUAUUUUUCUCAUCAUAUAAAUCAAUAAUUAAUUAUUCACAAAUAAUAUUACAGAAUCACAUUACUGACAACCAGGCAGUUCCCAAGAAAGAGAGGGCUUUCCAAUAAGGAUCUCUCCUUACUGGCGCGCAAUUAGAUAACCAAACCUAUCCUUAGACAGAACUUUCUAGACAUUGCCAAUAAUGUUAACUAAUAAUAUUAUUCAGAUAAUAUGAAUUAUUGCUCCGAUAAUAGAAAAUACUAUGUAGUGACAAUUAUUAAAACAAUAGUAAUAUAAAAUAUCAACGCAGCAAUUAUUGAAUCAAUAAAAUAAAAUACUGAACAGUAAUUACUGUAACAAUUAUUGAGUAGUGCCUUCUUACGUAAGAAUCAAUAAUUGGUGUAAUACCGUGUGCUACUGUGUUUUAACCACCGGGUAUUCCAACAGUAUUAACGGUAACAACUACGCCGUUAUUUAUAAACAACUUAUACUUGUCGUUUUCUUCAUCCAAUCGCUUUCCGUUAUGGGGCCCACACAAGGCUGCGCCGUCGUACGAAUAUUCCCCGACAGUAAGAAUAUUCCACAACCAAACGAAUAUUCCCCGUCAACAAUGAAUAUUUUAAAACCACUUGCUUGUUUGAAAUAAUUGCGCAUUUUACCCAUAACUUACCACAUUAAUCAAAUCAACCCUUACUAUUUCAAGAUAAUAAAUAGAGGAAAUUUAAUUUUAUUAAAUAAUAAGUUGGGGUCUUACAUUUGUAAUACCUAUGUUUCCUUCAUCUACUCCAAUUUUUUCCAGUGCUUCAUUGUUUAAUAAUUCUAUCUAUUUAUAUUAUCCUUAAAGCUUACUAUACUGAAAAUUCCCAAUUCUCAAUCCACAACUUUUCUAUACCCUAGUAUGGUUCAUUAAACAUACCACACGUUAUGAGUUGAGGAACUUACCACAAUAUUAUGAGUUUAGGAACUUGUCCUAGCAAUACGUAGUCCAAGAACCAAUCAGGAACUGUCCAUACGCUUAGGGGUUCAAAAAUAUACCAUACGAUUAUGAGUCAUAAACUUACCAUAAGCAUGAGUUUUAAGAACUCACACCUAAUCUUAUAUUCUCUAACUAUCAAAUAUAAAUAUGAGAAAAGAAUCACCUUUUCACCAUAUGUAUAUUGAUAGCGCGACACCAUCAUUUCAAUGAUUAUCAAUGUGAUCAACUGAGUAAUUGCUAGACCAAGCACAAAAUCCCUGCCCAUACAAAGUCUUAUACAACUCAGCUAUCACAUGAGUCCUCAGUUGAAAUACCACAUAAUCCUAGCUUUCUCUUUUCUCAAUACAAUUUUUUUUUAAUUCAUAUUUCAUCAUCUAUAACUCUUUCUGAGUUUACAUCGUACAAUUUCAUAGUACAUCCUUUUUAUAGCGUCAUGCUAUAUCAUUCCAAUCGUUUAACAUAUCAUAUGUUAAUAUAACUUCAUCCAGAUUAUUUCAAAUAUUUAUAAAUAAUUUAAUCGAUAAACUUGAUUAUUUAAAAUUUCAAAGAUUUAUCUAUUCCCAAAACCGAAAUCUUUACAUUGCUCUUUAAAAACUCUUUAUCAUAUACAUCAUGAUUAAACAUUUAAUAAUUCAUUUUAUAAGUUCUUCUUUAUAAUCUAUUAAACUGAAUACCAAUCAAGCAACCUAGAUUAUCCAUUCAGCUUACUAAUAUUAUUAAUCAUUUUAUAAUAUUUUAAAUUAAUCAUUUAAUAACACUUUAAUAUAAUAUUAUUAAUCAUAUAAUAAUAUUGUAAUCUAAAUAUUAUUAAUUACUUAAUAAUAUUUUAAUCUAAUAUUAUUAAUUUAAUAAUAAUAUUUUAAUCAUUUAUUAAACUAAUAAACAAUUUAUUUAGUUGUUUUUCUUUUUACUCUUUCAACCAUUUAAUAAACUUAAAAUACCAUAAAUAUAACAUCUUAUAAAAAAUGACCAAAGUAACCUCCAAAAUCCGUACACAUCAUUUUUAGGGUCUUUAAGCCUUAAAAUCACAUUUUCACAUUUUUCAACAUCAUUUAACUUAAUUUAUACAUUUAUUCAUAACUCAAACAUUUACAUGAAAAAUACCAAAACUUCUCUGAACUUUUUCUUUUCUGGGAAUCAUCAGAAUAUGGUAUCCUCAUGAACAUAUAUUUUUUCUGGAGUUUUUCAACUUGGUUUACUAUUUUUAAAUAGUCCAAAACAGUCAGAUCUUGCAAUAAUUAUCAUAAAUCGAAUAUCAUUCCUUUGUCCAAAUAUUACAAAAGUUUCAGGACAAUCUCCUGUUAUGAUCCCCUAACUCCAGUAAAAAUUUUACUAUAUUUUGGAGUUACACACAAAAAGUUAUUUCGAUUUACUUUUAAAAAAGUCUUUUCUUAUAAAAAUCAUAACUUUCAUUCAAUAUAUCCAAAAAUCACCAUCUUUGGACUGAAUUUUGUUAACUCAUUAUACUAUCAUAAAUUAAUUUCUCAGACUUUUUAGAGUACAGAAAACGGACGAAAAUGCCCUUGGACCAAACUGGUCUAGACAGUGCAUUUUCUUCUUUUUGUUUCCACUUGAUAGUUCACAAGAAAAAAGUUGCUACAACUUGUGUAUUUAACACAUUUGAGUGCUACCACUUGAGUUUGAAAGCUAACUUACAUAUCUAACACCUUUCUUUGACGAAUCACAAAAAGGAUGUGUGGAUUUCAAAUGGUGAGUGUUUAAAAUGGAAGAAAGUUAGGGUUUUCUAGUCCUUGUUAGAAAACUAUUUUUCUUUUCAUUUGUUUUCCAAACAAAUCAACACCCAAAAUGGUUAGAUCUAAACAUAAUACACCAUCUAACUAGUAGAUCUAAUGUUCCCAUGUUAAAGAUCAUAAAUUCAUGGUUAAAAAAAAUCAAAAGAUAUUAAACAAACUUUUUAUAUACCUUUUGUGCUCUUCCUUUUCUUUUCUUUUUCUUCUUCCUUCUUCUUUAUCUCCUUUAAUGGCUUAUUUCUCUCUCUUCUUUUAUCUCUAAGUUGGCGGGUGAGAGGUGGGGAAAUGAGAGAGAAUAUUGCUUCUUAUUUCCUCUUUCCUAAG